rnacentral:rRNA from 3 species
GAAACGACUGCUAAGACUGGAUAGGAGACAAGAAGGCAUCUUCUUAUUUUUAAAAGACCUAGCAAUAGGUAUGCUUAGGGAGGAGCUUGCGUCACAUUAGUUAGUUGGUGGGGUAAAGGCCUACCAAGACUAUGAUGUGUAGCCGGGCUGAGAGGUUGAACGGCCACAUUGGGACUGAGACACGGCCCAAACUCCUACGGGAGGCAGCAGUAGGGAAUUUUCGGCAAUGGAGGAAACUCUGACCGAGCAACGCCGCGUGAACGAUGAAGUAUUUCGGUAUGUAAAGUUCUUUUAUUAGGGAAGAAUAAAUGAUGGAAAAAUCAUUCUGACUGUACCUAAUGAAUAAGCCCCGGCUAACUAUGUGCCAGCAGCCGCGGUAAUACAUAGGGGGCAAGCGUUAUCCGGAAUUAUUGGGCGUAAAGGGUGCGUAGGCGGUUAAAUAAGUUUAUGGUCUAAGUGCAAUGCUCAACAUUGUGAUGCUAUAAAAACUGUUUAGCUAGAGUAAGAUAGAGGCAAGUGGAAUUCCAUGUGUAGUGGUAAAAUGCGUAAAUAUAUGGAGGAACACCAGUAGCGAAGGCGGCUUGCUGGGUCUUUACUGACGCUGAGGCACGAAAGCGUGGGGAGCAAACAGGAUUAGAUACCCUGGUAGUCCACGCUGUAAACGAUGAGUACUAAACGUUGGGUAAAACCAGUGUUGAAGUUAACACAUUAAGUACUCCGCCUGAGUAGUACGUACGCAAGUAUGAAACUUAAAGGAAUUGACGGGACUCCGCACAAGCGGUGGAUCAUGUUGUUUAAUUCGAAGGUACCCGAAAAACCUCACCAGGUCUUGACAUGCUUCUGCAAAGUUGUAGAAAUACAGUGGAGGUUAUCAGUUGCACAGGUGGUGCAUGGUUGUCGUCAGCUCGUGUCGUGAGAUGUUGGGUUAAGUCCCGCAACGAGCGCAACCCUUAUUGUUAGUUACCAGCACGUAAUGGUGGGGACUUUAGCAAGACUGCCAGUGAUAAAUUGGAGGAAGGUGGGGACGACGUCAAAUCAUCAUGCCCCUUAUGACCUGGGCUACAAACGUGAUACAAUGGCUGUUACAAAGGGUAGCUGAAACGCAAGUUUUUGGCGAAUCUCAAAAAAACAGUCUCAGUUCGGAUUGAAGUCUGCAACUCGACUUCAUGAAGUUGGAAUCGCUAGUAAUCGCGAAUCAGCAUGUCGCGGUGAAUACGUUCUCGGGGUUUGUACACACCGCCCGUCA